rnacentral:rRNA from 1 species
AAGCUGACGGAUCACGCCGCGUGAGUGAUGAAGGUUUUCGGAUCGUAAACUCUGUUGUUAGGGAAGAACAAGUGCAUAGUAACUGAUGGCACCUUGACGGUACCUAACCAGAAAGCCACGGCUAACUACGUGCCAGCAGCCGCGGUAAUACGUAGGUGGCAAGCGUUGUCCGGAAUUAUUGGGCGUAAAGCGCUCGCAGGCGGUUCUUUAAGUCUGAUGUGAAAUCUUACGGCUCAACCGUAAACGUGCAUUGGAAACUGGGGAACUUGAGUGCAGAAAAAGAGAGUGGGAUUCCACGUGUAACGGUGAAAUGCGUAUAGAUGUGGGGGGACAACCCUGGCGAGGGGGAGGCUCUGGUCUGUAACUGACGCUCAAGAGCGAACGCGUGGGGGGCGGACCCGAUUAUAUUACCUGGUGGUACACGCCGGCUGAACGAUGAGUGCUGCGUGUUCAGGGGUGUCUGCCCCUUAUUGCUGUGAGUUAACGGUUUAGCGCUCUCGCGCUGUGGAGUUCGGCGGCAGGUGGACUCCACGAAUUGCCGGGCCGCACAGCGUGGAGCUGUGGUUAUUCGAAGCAAGCGAAGAACUUACCCGGUCUUGACUCUCUGGAACUCUUGAGUUAGGUUUUCCUUCGG